rnacentral:lncRNA from 1 species
GUGCGGGACAGUGAGGGUAGUGGGGGACUAGCUAUAGAAUUAAAGAUGGGUUAUUAGAAAGUGCUUACGUGGAGCAGUCAAUGGAAGGGCUAAUUUUGUAGGGAAGAUUGACACCACAUUUGCUAGGGAGAGCAGAAGCAAGGGCGAGGUUGAUGCCGCUGAUGGCUUCGGCAGCCGAUUUGAUGCACUUACAAGCCAUCUGACGAUCAGGAGUUGUGGUAGCUUGGCCGUUGAGUGGUAGCUUGGCCGUUGAGGGCCUUAAUUCCAAUGCAACAUUGUGGUGGAACAACACCACCUGCCCUCAAGCAGUUGAUGCAUGGUGAUAGCCUAG